AGCGAACGUUAGCGGCGGGCCUAACACAUGCAAGUCGAACGGGCAGUAGCAAUACUGUCAGUGGCGCACGGGUGCGUAACGCGUAGAUAAUCUACCUUCCAGCGGGGGGAUAACUGAGGGAAACCUUAGCUAAUACCCCAUAAGACCACGGGGCCUUCGGGUUCUGCGGGAAAAGGCGGCCUCUGCAUAUGCUGUCACUGGGAGAUGAGUCUGCGUCCCAUCAGCUAGUUGGUGAGGUAAUGGCUCACCAAGGCGAAGACGGGUAGCUGGUCUGAGAGGAUGAUCAGCCACACUGGCACUGGAACACGGGCCAGACUCCUACGGGAGGCAGCAGUGGGGAAUAUUGGACAAUGGGCGAAAGCCUG
rnacentral:rRNA from 1 species